rnacentral:snRNA from 1 species
AUCCCAGUGCAGGGGUAUUACGCGUAUCAGUGAGGAUUCGUCCGAGAUCGCGUUUUUGCUAAUUGCAAACUAUACCCUUGACCGCUCCAAGUUGGCUAAGGCCGGCUGGGGAAUUUCUGGACAUACUGUUCUCCUUGUG